CUGAGUUCAUUUAAGACAAUAAUGGAAAUUAGAGAUGAAUUAAGGAUGAUAAUAUAGGAAUUGGGUUCAUCGUGUGUCCAUCCUUUGAGCUACUUUAGAAAGUGUGACCCAAACACAUUUAUGAGAUAUAACAAAUUUGGUUCAUUGACGAUGGUUACGUAAUUCCUAUGUGCCUAUACUUAAAAAGGACAAGAAGAAAAUGGGUACUCAACAAGAUUCAGAUCUUUCUUUAGGUUAUGAUUUUCUAAGCAAUCAAGUACCUUACAGAAUCAUGCAUCACAUAUAAUUGAAAGAAACAUUUUUCAACUUUCGUAGUGAUUCAAUAAAUGAAAUGGUAAUUAUAUAAUAUUAAUAUACACCUUCUUGAUUGAUUGUCUUUCACGUGUGAAUAUUCUUCAAUAAAUUUUUUUCUUCCCUUUGUCUGCUUCACAAUGUAUCUAAUGAUGCAUCGGUUUGGAAUUGUGAUGAAAAACAGCAUGGGAGGGUGAGGGUCUGUGUGCCUCACUGCCUUGGAUCCAUAAUAAUGCCAUAAGCCCAUAAUGGUUAAAUAAACAAAACAAAACAAAACAAAACAAAUAAAAUAAAAAAUCGAUGUAUCUAAUUAAAAAU
rnacentral:lncRNA from 1 species